rnacentral:lncRNA from 1 species
GCAGCUUGCUGACAAGUACCACUUCCGGGGCCACCUGGGGGACCAGGACUUCUUCACCAUGAUCGGCAUGGAGCACCCGGAACUCUUCCACGUGCUGGACUGCACCUGGAACCGGCAGCUGUGCACCUGGUGGAGGGACCAUGGCUACAGCGACGUCUUCCCGGCAUACUUUCACUGUGAGGGCCACGUCAAGAUCUACCAUGGGAACUGCAACACUCCUAUCCCAGAGGACUAGGCACCAGCUCGCCCGCUAUGCCAGUGGGGCUCCCGGGCCUGGGAAGAGAGAGAGACUCGGCUCGGAUGCCCUCCAGGGGCCAGGUGCUGCAGAUGCCCCAGCUGGCUGGUUCCUGU